rnacentral:rRNA from 1 species
UACGUAGGGGGCAAGCGUUGUCCGGAUUUAUUGGGCGUAAAGAGCGUGUAGGCGGCCUGGCAGGUCAGCUGUGAAAACUCGAGGCUCAACCUCGAGACGUCGGUUGAAACCACCUGGCUAGAGUCCGGAAGAGGAGAGUGGAAUUCCCGGUGUAGCGGUGAAAUGCGCAGAUAUCAGGAGGAACACCAAUUGCGAAGGCAGCUCGCUGGGACGUUACUGACGCUGAGACGCGAAAGCGUGGGGAGCAAACAGG